UUACUGAGGAAAGAUAUAGUAAAAUUUGUACUUUGCCAUUUGAAAUUGAUGAAUUUUAUUCACAUCAUUUAUUUUUCAAUUUCUCCUUAUCCCUUUUUGCUUGUUUUAUUUUGUUUUGCUUUGAUUCUUUGACUAGGCUGAAGAGUUAAAACCUGGAUAUUCCAAGUACAACUAUGUAUAUUUGGCAAAGUGCUACAAAGAUCUUGGACAAAAACAAAAUGCUUUGAUGUAUUGUGAUUCUGCUUUGCUAAUUAGUUCUAAUAAUAAAAAGGAUCAUCAGGCACAGGAGGAGUUGGAGCAUAUAAUCCUUUCUUUAAAGUAGAUUUAAAAACAGGAGAUUUUGUAUCAGCAAACCGGAUGCAACAACUUUAAAAUAUAAAUGAUGAAAAUUCAAGUGGUCAGCUAUGCAACUUUAAUAUCACAUUGUGUAUUUCAGUUUUGAUUUGGGAGAUUGUGAUUUAGAUUUAGAGGGUGAUCUUUCCACCCUGGUGGUGAAGAAAUGCAUUCCAUGACUGGCAGAGUCACAAGGAUGAUCAUGUCACUGGAAGACUCCAUGAGAUGUGUAAUAUUAAUACCAAAUUAUUUCUAACAAUGUUGGAUUUGUAUAUUUGAUGUUCUGUUUCCUAUUGACUAAUCAAUGCUGAUUCUUUAGAGUCUCCAAGAAAAAAAAAAGAAAAAGAGAAAGAAAUAAAAUCAAAUCAAUAAAAGAAAA